rnacentral:rRNA from 1 species
UACGGAGGGUGCGAGCGUUGUCCGGAAUCACUGGGCGUAAAGGGCGCGUAGGUGGCUCGUGAAGCGUGCGGUGAAAGUCCGAGGCUCAACCUCGGAUCGGCCGUGCGGACUCGCGGGCUCGAGCGUUGUAGAGGCGGGUGGAAUUCCGGGUGUAGCGGUGGAAUGCGUAGAGAUCCGGAAGAACACCGGUGGCGAAGGCGGUCUGCUGGGCAGUAGCUGACGCUGAGGCGCGACAGCGUGGGGAGCAAACAGG